AUGUCACCUGUACAAGAGAAGAGAAUAUUAAGUAAAUAGCACAAAGGGUUUGAUUAUGUAAUUUAGAAUGUUAUUUUGGUACAGUGUUGGAAGUUGUAGAACUGAUGAAAGGGAAGAGACUGCUAGUUGUGGCUGAAGUCAGACAAUGGAAAAAUAGCACUUGUUCAUUUAGCUGCUGGCUGUCACAUUUCUGAUCUGUAGGGCAGCACCUGCCAAAUUCCACCAUACUGCUAGGUUGAAUCUACUAAGAGCACUGUCAUUUUCUCCCAAUUUAAACUCCAGUUGCUCAUUCUGUUCCCAAGGGCAGAAGAGUUGAUCUGAUGAUACUCCCCUAUUGGAUAACCUCAUGUCUUCCACCAAGAAGUAGUUCUGCAUUAAAUAGCACAUGUUGAAAGUCACUGAUGGAAGCUAUAUACAACCUCCCAUCUCUGGUAACUUAGAUUUUCUUAAAUCUCCACAAUGAGUCCUGCCCUUAUGAUCUGCAGCGCUCUUAUUGUUUGGAGCUUUCUGGAGCACAAUUUCCCAAUUUUGCCAAAUGCUGUGGAGUGGUUCUAAAGUGCUGACAUUAGGGCACAUUUAUUCUUUGUAGCCUGUACCAUAUUUGGGAUUAGGUUCCACACACUGAAUAUGCCAGCCUUAAUUUAUUGUACAUCUAGUCUCAAAAUUGCUGGCAUUAUUAAUAGUAAAUUUAUCAAAAACUCUCCUCUAAAGAAAAGAAGCCUGCUUUGGGGUUAUACAACCAUCCUAACCAGAGCUGGCAAAGCAACCAACUGCAGCCAUCACCAACAUUGCUCUCUAGACAGUCAACACUCCAGAAGGCACAAUUGUUCCAUUUUACAGAGGGAAAAAGUGAGGCAGAAGUCACAGUAAACUAGUGGGAGGUCAGAUGAAAGACCUUUCACACCACAAAAUUAGCUUAUGUAACUCUGACAAUAUAAUAGAGGCCAAGAAGUUGCAAGGAUUCAAAUUGGGAUUUGAGGUUAUAAAAGGUGCUAGAAUUAUAGUACUAAAUUUAAAAAAAAAAAUAAAAUAAAAGGGCUGUGAAAGGGAUAUAAAUCUUCAUGGUUUUCAAGGUUUUACACAACCUCUAGCCAUUGAUAGGUUAACAGGAAACUUUCCCAGGUGGCAGGUUAUCCCAUACCUAUUGCAGGGGUUUUGGUACCCUGUCUCAAGCAUCUAAUACUGGGAUAAUGAAUUCAAAAAAUAAGGCCAGAAUAGACUAGAAUCAUUCUAGUCUGACUAUCUGCUUCACACAGGAUAAAGAACUUCAUCCAAUAAUUGCUGCAUCAAAUCCAUAGCUUAAUGGAACUAUAGCAUACCUUUUAGAAACAACUAGUCUUGACUCCCCCAUGUAGGUACUGCAGACCAUGAUCAAUUUAUGUCAACCUUCUCAUGGAUAAAUUAUACUGAGACUAAAAAAAAAAACCUCAAUUUAAAAAGGCAUAUUUUCCAAACCUUAGAUCUUUUUAUAGCUCUCUUCUGAAGGCUUUCCAAUUUGUCAACAUCCUUUUUGCAGUGUUGACACCAGAACGGGACACAGUAUCCCAAUAAUUCUCACUAAUGCCAGAUACAGAGGCAAUACCACUGCCUCACUCCUACUUGUUUUUCUAAAAGAUAGGAAUUACCUUAAGUUCUGUAGCAUGUGUUACAAAAGCUCAGACUAGAUAACAGUGAUCCAUUCUGGCCUUGGAAUCUAUCACUUUAUAUGCCCAAGGAUCGUGUUUACCCUCUUAGGUAAAACAUCACAGUGGGAGCUCAUGUUCAGGUGACUACCUUGUUUUCCAAAGAUAUAGUCAAAUCUUUUGUGUAACAUACAUUACUUGUUCCUAGAUGUAUGAUCUUGCAUAUGGUUGUAUUAAAAAAAACAUUCAAAUAAGCACAUCUUACCAUGUGAUCAAGGGCCAGUUAUCACUCCACCAAUUUGUCACCUACAGGUUUUACCAGUAAUGAUUUUAUAUUUUCUUCCUGAUCACUGAAAGAUACUGAAUGACACAGGGCAAUGAACAGACUCCUGUGGGGUCUCAUUAAAACAGUCCCAUUGGGUGACUAUUCUCCAUUUACAUUCCCCCCCCCCCCAUUUUCAGUUAACUAUAUUUUUAAUUCAUAUAAUAUGAGUGGUUGAAUUUGAAUAGUACUUUUUAAAAAAAUCAGUAUGUCAUACAGGACUAAGUCAAAUGCCUUACAGAAGAUGAAGUAUAUUUUAUCAGUUAUUUAAUCAAGCAAAUCUGAAAUCUUAUUUAAAAAAAAGUUCUUAGCCUGUUUUCCAUUAAAAAAAAAAAAUACUGAUUGGCAUUAGUUACACUGCCUUCUUUACUGAUUGUGUCCCGUACCAGUAUUUUCCUGAUACUGUCUGGGACUGAUGUCAGCCUAACCUGCCUGUAAUUUCCCAGGUUCUCAUUUACCUUUAAAUACUGGCACAAACAUUUUCUCCCUUGUCCUCUCUCUCUGUCUGAUCCAAUAUGGCAAUUCCUGUGUUCUGGACAGGCAAGAUCUCUCAGUUAUCUCUCUCAGUUAAUUCUAAUACUGUUUAGCCCAUUUAUGUAGAGAAGUGGUUCUCAUUUUUCAUUUGCGGACCCUUAAUUUCAAAUGGAGGGGUGGACCCCUUUGGAAAUCUGAGUCUACAGACCCCAGGGUCUUCAAACCACAGGUUGAAAGCCACUGAUCUAGAGGUCACUUUACAUAGUAACACUAGACUGGUUAUCGACUUAUGACAAGGGAAAUAAUGUAUUUCAGGAGGUUUCUGACAGUCUUUUGCUACCGUUUGAAGUCCAGAGAGGGUUUUCUUCCACCACCUGUGUUUCUCCACCUACCUCUAGAAAAGUGGUUACUGAGGUCAGACUAAUAAUUCGCUUCAGGGAGACUUUGUCAUUGUGCUUCCAAAAGAGAGCAAACUGCUUAUGGAGACACUGCAAUUCGGCCUUUUAUUGUCAUCAUUCCUCAGCAACACAGAAGUCCUUACAAAGCUUGGCAUAGCAAAAGAGGAGGAUACCUUAUGAUCACAUCAUAUGAUAUUGUUACUGAUAAUUAGAAUUACUAUAAAUCCUGAAUGAGUUAUAUAUAAUCAGCUACGAGGGACACCGUAACUAUUCUCACAGAAGCUGUGGAUUCUCAACACCUUUGAACAACAACAAGGUGUCAAGCUGAGCACUCAAAUAUUGGGUUGCACAAAAUUAAUGGACAUUUCUGAAUUUGUCUGCAAGUGACUUGGCUAUGGUUUCAAAAAGUCAGUGGCGGAGCUAAAAACAUUGCCAGGAAUCCUUGAUACCACAUCUAAGCUCUACAAGACAACACCUCUAAAUCAGUCAAACUUAAUAUUUUGAAACAGCUUGUCAAUGGUUGGUUGGCCCUUUAAGGGAAGUAAGGGCCAUCUUAUCUGCAACAGGCUCCUGUAAGAGAAGUCAACCCACACCCACCAGGACAUAAUUAAAUCUAAGAUGGCUGAUUGGUAGCUAAUUAGCCUGAUAAAGAGUUACCAGGGCUCAGCUGGGGGAUGAGAGUGUUCUAGAAACAGGAAGCUCCUGAGGAAAUAUGCUCCCAGGAGAGUCACCAGAGCAAGGAGUCCAGAAGGUGCACUUCUAGGGACAAGGAACUCCCAAAAAGUGGCAGAAAGCCCAGCCUGUCAGGAACUACACACUGCUCCAGAGAAGAGCUGCAGUUGAUAUAGCUCUGCUGACCCUUGGCUCUGGGAAAGGAUUCUCCUCAGAUAGUGGCAAGAGGCCUGAUUCCAGGGAAGAGAGCUGUGCUGAGAGAACUCUGCUAGUACAGGGCCCGGAUGGAAGGAAGCACUGGAUCCAGGUUGAAAUGGAUAAACUAAGACUGACCAUCUCCCAGCUAAGACUCUGUGGUGACGUUUUACUUGUAUUUUCAUUUGGCCUCACUGAAUGUACUGAUGACACAUUAGGGGAAACUGAGCCAAGGAAAGUCGGGAGCACCAUGCUUGGCCAGCAGAGGGUGCUACAGUGCAGGUCGGUCUUAAAUAGGAUUUUCCAGACUACCACAAUUAAAGAAGGCCCAUUAUUACUUUUCUGUGAUUCCCUACUUCUUGUCCACCACUCAGCCGCAAUUACUGGACAAUCAUCCCACAAUUCAAGUAAGGCCUUACUCUUAUAUAGAAGUUGUACUACUCACCACAAUGCUCCCUUCAAUGUGGAUUCCAUGUCUUGCAGAUAUCUGCAUCAUCAUCAUCUGGAGACUCCCAAUGUGUCUGAUAACUUCCUACAGGCUCCUGGCUGAUGAGCUGGAGUUGUGACCCUCUUGACAUUUAUCCACUAAGAAUGUUCAACUUUGUGUUAAGGAAGAGGGAGACGACUCAGUUGCUAUAUUAGAGAGUAAAUUAAAGAGGCAGUGCUGGAAGUAAAGAUGAGCUUGCUUUGGAGGCAUACUGGUUCCUAUGCUUCAAAAUUGUUUGGAGAUGAGGAUGUUAGUUAUUAAAUAUUCCACUUCCCCAUGUGCUUCUCAGAUAGAGGCAUCACAAAAGUUGCAUCUGCUGGUGAAAUGAGAGAACUAUGCCCUGACAAUUAUUCCAUGAAAUCUAACCAGGGGGCACUCCUACUGGGUGGAGGAGGAGGGGAAAAGGAGGAGGCAAAUCUUAAGUUAUCACUACUGAAAACAUUUUGGAAAAACAAAUAUUUGAUUAUGAACUGUUUGGUAAAGUAAAUGCUCAUUUUUCCCCCCCCAGUUGAAAACCCCUUCAUUUCUGGAACAUUCAUUCUAAAAUAAAAUUACUGCUCCAACUGAAGCACAAUACAAAUUAGAAAAAGGAUUGCAUAUUUUCAUUUUCUUAAAAACAUUCCAAAUACACAUUGUUUUAGAAACAAAGUGCACUUCAACAAAUGUCUGACAAAAGACACUGUU